GACCUCUACUCAAGGAAGUAAAGGAGACUUUCAAGCAGUGAACUUUGAUGGUGAUAGAGAGUGAUGGAUAACCCGACAGCAAAUAAGAGCCACAUUCCCUGUCCGUCUUGGAUGGCCCAGAAUGGCUGAAACAACCCUCACGCUGACAUGUAUAAAACCUCUCAUAUUGGCAGCAUUCCAUCAUCCAGCUCGCUGUUUGCCACAGAUAUCCCAAAUCUCUCUCAAGCUCUUCGACAGGCAAACCAAGGACUUCAGCUUUGUGGGCCCCAGGAUUUAUCAGUUCUCUCAUCCCACAAUGCCUUCAAGACAUUUCAAAAUCCAGUAUCCAGUCUGGGUUUGUCAAGUGGGAUUCAAGGCCUACCCCCCCGCCUGCCGUCAUGCAGACAACAUCAAGCUGCUUUUGAAGGAGAAAAUGUGGAGUCCGCACAUGGUGCAGGAAACACUCAAAGCUAUACCUCAUCCACCUCUCAGGAGCAGCCUGAGUGGUUACCUUCAUCACAUUGCAGAGGAGCUGUGAAUGACCCUGUCCCAAAAGCAGCUGUUCAAAACAAAAACACAAAUAAAUCUACUACGGCCAGCAGUGAAAAGCGGCGUUCAGAUGUUUUACAGCAGCGCGCUGAGCUGCUUAAACAACUGGCAGAGAUGGAUAAACUUCUGAAAGCACUGCCAUCAGAUAACAGCAGCGAUGGGCAGUCGUCAGAUGAUGAGCCACCUCAGUGUGAACAGACUGCUGCAAAUUCAAAGUCGCGUAAUUCAGCAAAUGGUUCUUCACCUUCAUACUGUGACGAGCAAAAUGAUGCUUGUGAUACGCCAGAGUCACCUGCAGAAUCGCUGAAAAAGGAAGUUGUGUCAGACAUGUCAGGGGAGGACGAUGAUCACGAUUACUCACCAGGGAGUGAUGAAGAGUUCAAAGAAGGUUCUUCAGAUGAAUCCAGUCAUAGCGAUCCAGAGUCCCCCGUGAGUGAAGAACCGCACCAAGAAGAGCAGAACUCAAAAUCAGAAAAUUCUUCAGGAAAGGAUAAAGGAGUCACUCCUGUAAAGAGCAAACCUAUGAUUAGUCAGGCAGAAGCGUCACAAACGCCAGUGUUGCCAGCUGUAAAACGACCAAAUUCAAAAGCUCGCUUUUAUGACAAGAAGAAUUACUGCUUGUUUUGCUCCAAGCCGGUGUUAAAACUGUCACGGCAUUUUGAGUCAAUUCACAGUGACAAACCAGAGGUUGCAGCUGCAUUUCAGUAUCCCAAACACUCCAAAGAAAGACAAAAUAUAUGGAAAAAAUUAACAAAUGAAGGAAACUUUGCACAUAAUAAAAAUGUUUUGAAAACAGGAGAGGGAACUCUUGUCGUACGACAGAGACCGAAAGUGCUUGGACAGGCCCGUGACUUUCUUCCUUGUCUUCACUGUCAUGGUCUUUUUGUGAAGAGAAACCUGUUCAAACACAUGAGGACGUGCCCAGCGAAAAGCAAGAUUGAAAAGGAUAUUGGAAAAAAGCGCAUUGCAUCAAUGUGUGUGCUGGCAACUUUGGACUGUGAAGACCGUGGCAUAAGUGAUGUCGCUAGGAGCAUUCUGAAUGAAAUGAUAUACGAUGAUGUGACGCGAGCUGUUAUGGAUGACAGGAUUCUCUUGCAGUUUGGGGAAUACAUGUACAAUCAUUAUGGCCGUGAUGCGAAAAAGCACCCAUAUAUAAGACAAAACCUUCGUCAGAUAGCAAGACUUGUGCUUGAGGCUCAAAAAACAACCCCAAUGAAGAAGCUGGAGGACUUCUUUCACCCUUCAAACUUCCAGCGUGUGGUGUCUGCAGUGAACGUCCUGGCAGGCUAUGAUUCAGAAACCAAAAUUUACGUCGCUCCUUCCGUUGCAGUCAAGCUUGGUCACAGCCUGCAGAAGACCUGCAGUAUUGUUAAGGAUAACGCGGUAAAGUCUGGUGAUACAAAACAGGCAGAGGCUGCUAAAAACUUCCUCUCUGUGUACCAAAAGAAGUGGACUAAGCUUGUUUCUUCGGCCGCAUUAAGAAGUCUCAGAGAAAUUAAAUCAAAACGAGCAAAGCAGAUACCACUUGUUCAAGAUAUGAAGCGCUUGCAUUUCCACUUGGAGAAGGUUCAUACUACAGCUGAGAAGAAUCUACGAGACAGUCUUUCUACAGAAAACUUUGUCGCGCUGGCCAGGGUCAUGCUUGCCCGGAUAAUCCUCUUCAACAAGAGAAAGCCUCGAGAGGUUGCAACGAUUCAGCUGACGGAAUUCAUGUCACGAACAAAAUCAGAUCCACCUGAUGACUUGGACCCGUCUGUCACAGAGUUGGAAAAAACCAUGUGUAGGUUCUUCACCAGAGUUGACGUACGUGGGGACUGCGGGAGAAAAGUCCCUGUUUUACUGAAGCCCUCAUUUGAGUCGGCUCUGGAGCUUCUAGUGGAUUCUCGCGAGGCAUGUGGAAUCACCAGUAAGAAUCCCUUCGUCUUUGCCCGACCAAAUGCUCUGUCUAACUACAGGGGGACAGAUUGUCUUCAAGGAUUUAUCAAAGAAUGUGGAGCUCAAAACUCUGAAGGUCUGACAUCAAAAAAUGUCCGCAAGCAUUUUGCAAAAAUGCUACAACUGAUGAACCUGGAUGAAAAUGAAGCCAACCAAAUUUUUGGGCCUAAUAACAAAAUCCAGAUCCUGCGGCAGUGCAAUGACUCCACACUGGAUGAUAUUGAAAUGGAUUCUGAAGCUGAGUCGUGGGAUCAUAGUGAAGGCAGACCAGCAUCUCUUAAUCAACAAAAACGUGGAGGAAAAAGUGCCAACAAAUCUAUCAGAGGCUCCAAAUGUACACCCAAACACAUAUGGGGGGAUGCUGAGGUUCGUGCUGUAGAAAAACACAUGAUGCGCUUCAUUCAGGAGCACAAAGUGCCCCAGAAGGAUGACUGCGUCAAGUGUCUUGAAGCUGAGGCAAAAGCACUGAGGAACCGCACGUGGAAAGGUCUAAAGAACUACGUCCGAAACAGGAUCACAACUCUGAAAAGACAAAGUGACUCUUCGCAGGAUUCACCGACCAGCAGCAAAAGGCCCAGAGAAGCAGAACCACAGAAAACGAGACAGCCUACGAGUGGACGACAAGCUGACUCACAGGAUCACGAUGAAGGCUCUACUGCAGACAAUGGAGAGGCACCUUUUAAUCAUCAAAACGCACAUGGAGAAACAAGAAGCGCCAGCAAGACUACACGUCCCAAAUCUGUCAAAUCAGGUGGACAAGGUUCCCACCAUAAAACUAAACACACGUGGGAGGAGGCAGAGGUCCACGCUGUAGAAAGACACAUGAUGAGUUUCAUUCAGGAGCACAAGGUGCCUCAGAAAGACGACUGCAUGAAGUGUCUUGAUGCUGAGCCAAGAGCGCUGAGAAACCGCACGUGGAAAGGUGUAAAGGACUACGUCAGAAACAGGAUCACAACCCUACAAAGACAAAGCAGCUUCUCCCUGGAUUCACCGAAAAGCAGGAAAAGGCCCAGAAAAUCAGCGGAGCCACAGCAGAUGAGACAGUCUGCAGGUGGAGAACAAGCCAGUUCAUGGGAUCACAAUGACUUCUCCUAUGGAGCUGGUGGAGCAGAAAUGUUUUAUCACCAACAAGAACAUGAAGACACGACAAGCUCCAGCAAAACGAGCAGAUCUGUCAAAUCCAGUGAGAAAGGUUUCCACCAUAAAACUAAACACACAUGGGAGGAGGCAGAGGUCCACGCUGUAGAAAGACACAUGAUGAGUUUCAUUCAAGGCCACAAGGUGCCUCAGAAAGACGACUGCAUCAGGUGUCUUGAUGCUGAGCCAAGAGCGCUGCGAAACCGCACGUGGAAAGGUGUAAAGGACUACGUCAGAAACAGGAUCACAACCCUGCAAAGACAAAGUGACUGUUUCCAAGAUUCACCAAAAAGCAGAAAAAGGCCCAGAAAAUCAGCGGGACAGCAGAGUACUCCACAUUACCAACAGCUGUAG
ensembl:lncRNA